UCGAAUACAAUAGAAGAUUAGUCUCCGAAUACAAUUCAUCAUAUUAGUCUCCGAAUUUAAAAUACCGAACAAAGUUAGAACAUUACAAGUCUCGAGACCGUGAGUAGCGAGUUUGUCUUCACAUUACAAGUCGAUAUCGAUCAUCUAAACUACCAUCACAUAGAAGAGAGCUGCGGUCAUCACGAGAAAGACCGGCAAA
rnacentral:lncRNA from 1 species